AAAUUGAAGAGUUUGAUCAUGGCUCAGAUUGAACGCUGGCGGCAGGCCUAACACAUGCAAGUCGAACGGUAGCACAGAGAGCUUGCUCUCGGGUGACGAGUGGCGGACGGGUGAGUAAUGUCUGGGAAACUGCCUGAUGGAGGGGGAUAACUACUGGAAACGGUGGCUAAUACCGCAUAACGU
rnacentral:rRNA from 1 species